GCUGCUCAUUCUGCCCCUCUCAACCGUCCUUGACUACCCUGGCUGCCUAUGCCGCCCUGUCUGUGUACCAGCCUGGGUGGGCUGGUUUGCACGUCUGACCAGCAGUGUGCGGCAGGAGAAGGACCAGAAGAAGAGGGAGUGAGAUUUCGGAAGGAAACACAAUGAUUUGAAACUGGAAGGCAGCCAAUUUCUUCAGAGUAGCUGCAUCUCAAGUACAGAUAACUUUACUUGCAAGUGGAUAAUUGCAUCAAUCCAAGGAAAAGAAGUACAUCAAGAAUCAACCCUAAUUUUUACUUGAGGAGCAGAGCAUGCUGGGACAUGAUAGUUCAGAAUCAAAACUAUUUGUUCUUUGUUCCAGCGCUGUGGAGUAGCCCUCAGUGUAUUCAUUAAAGUUUGGCAAGUUUUCAUAUGGAUGCACAUCAAAAGGAUGGCUAUUGGCUCACUUGCUGGCAAGAAAGAAGAUAUGAGGAGAAGUCCAGGGUCUAUUUUACACUGCAAAUCAAUAUCUACCAUAUGGCACAGCAGACCUUCUCCAAACCUGAAAUGACUGACUUUUGGAAAUCAAAACGAUACAUAUAUUGACAGCAGGAUUAGUUCUAUCAGCAAGAACUUGUAGAUGAUAUACGAAGGGAGGAAUCGUACUCAUGUUGAGUCCGUACCAUUUUAUUUAAGGAAUCUCAAGUUGUAAUACAGCAUUAUGCAUCUUAAUCACAGGGCUAUACUCGACAAAAUGUUGUUUAAUGUGAUUCAUGCUUUGCGGGGGUGGGGGGAAGAGAAGGCACAAGGAAACAUAAGGAAGGAGAAAUGUAGUCUGUGGCUGAAGAAGCCACUGUGCUAAUUGAGUCUUGCUGCAUUUUACCACAUGUUGCUAAAAUAAACAUUUCCGAGUGCAUUUUAAGUAC